CUGCCGGCGACCGGCGCACGGGUGAGUAACACGUAUGGAACCUGCCCGCAGCAGGGGGAUAAGCGGAAGAAAUUCCGUCUAAUACCGCGUAACAACGUUGGGAGGCGUCUCCCGAUGUUUAAAGAUUUAUCGGCUGCGGAUGGCCAUGCGGCGCAUUAGCUAGUCGGCGGGGUAACGGCCCACCGAGGCGACGAUGCGUAGGGGUUCUGAGAGGAAGGUCCCCCACACUGGUACUGAGACACGGACCAGACUCCUACGGAAGGCAGCAG
rnacentral:rRNA from 1 species